rnacentral:lncRNA from 1 species
CCCCUCCUCAGUUGCUGAGUUGCAGCUGUGGCCUCUCAACUCCCAUCCUGGAUCUGCCUGCCAUCCAGUCCCGGCCCUGGCCCCAGGCCUGUUCCCUUUGCACCGGUCUCCCUAUUUGAUGUGACCCUUCUUUUUGAAGUGGGCUUUGCCGGGUGGGGUGCUUCAAGGCCUGUCAGUGCUGAACCUUGCAGCCUGCACAGAGCUUGAUGUGAUUCUUGUAGAUGCUGACACCUGGGGCUUCCCACGGCAUCAGUGGCAUCCCAGACUGAACAGACAGACUCUCAAGAGCAGGCCAGGAAGAAGAAUAAAAGCCCAGCAACUUUCUUGCUGGGAUCCUGUCUGGAAAAUAGAAGGGAAAAAGGGAGUGGAGCUGAAAGAUGGAUAUGGAUAUGAGAGUCGUCUAACUGAGGUCCAGCUAUGCCUGAACCGGCACCGUCUGGAUUUUUUCCAUUGCCAAGAAGUAGAAUUCCUUUUCUGUUCAAACCAGUGCCCACUGGGUCUCUCCCCUGCUUUGCACAUUCUCAUACCCAACUCAGACCCUGCAGAGGGAGACACCACACAUGCAUAGGCCGCAGGUGCACCGCUGCUAACCAUCUGCAUGGAAAAUGUACAUGAAGAACAGGGCCGGUGGGGAAACCCACCUGGCUAUGUGAGCGGGUUGAGGGAAGAAUCGGCGACAGGAAGAGAACUUGAGUUGGUAACUUGGGUUUUUGGGAGACAUCGUGGGUUCUGAAUGAGGGGAUGAUGAGUAAAUUGUAGGUGAGGCUGAAGCCCACUGACCAGGUGACAGAUGUGAAUGUUCACGUACACAUGGACACACACACACACACACACACACACACACACACACAAGCAC